AGCCCGGUCGUCUAGCGGCCAAGGAUCCCAGGCUCUGGCCCUGGGGACGAGGGUUCGAAUCCUUCCCGGGCUACCA
rnacentral:tRNA from 1 species